rnacentral:rRNA from 1 species
CGUAGUUGACCUCUGUCUGGGGAUGAUUUUGGCUUCUGUCAGGUCAUUUUCAGGCAUCCGCUUCCAGACCUAUCCGGCAUUAACUUGUCGAUAGGAGGAGCAGGCAUUUUACUUUGAAAAAAUUAGAGUGUUUAAGGCAGGCAAUUGCCCGCAUAUAUUAGCAUGGAAUAAUAGAAUAGGACACUUUUCCAUUUCGUUGGUUAUUGGAAUCGUGUAAUGAUUAAUAGGGACAGUUGUGGGCAUUUGUAUUUAAUUGUCAGAGGUGAAAUUCUUGGAUUUAUUAAAGACAAACUAACGCGAAAGCUUUUGCCAAGGAUGUUUUCAUUAAUCAAGAACGAAAGUAAGGGGAUCAAAGACGAUCAGAUACCGUCAUAGUCUUUACUAUAAACUAUUCCGACUCAAUGUUCGACUGGCUUAUAUAACCAGUUGAGCGUUGUAUGAGAAAUCAAAGUCUUUAGGUUCUGGGGGGAGUAUGGUUGCAAAGCUGAAACUUAAAGGAAUUGACGGAAGAGCACAACCAGGAGUGGAUUCUGCGGCUUAAUUUGACUCAACACGGGGAAACUUACCAGGUUAAAACAAUAGUGGGAUUGACAGUUUGAGAGCGCUUUCUUGAUUCGUUGGGUGGUGGUGCAUGGCCGUUCUUAGUUGGUGGAGUGAUUUGUCUGCUUAAUUGCGUUAACGAACGAGACCUUAACCUGCUUACUAGACUAUUGAUGUAUAAUCGGUAGCUCUUCUUAGAGGGACUUUGGUUGUUUUAACUCCAAGGAAGUUUGAGGCAAUAACAGGUCUGUGAUGCCCUUAGAUAUCCUGGGCCGCACGCGUCAUACAAUGACCAGUUCAGAAAGCUUUUCCUGAUCCGGAAGAUACGGUAAUCUUGACAGUACUGGUCGUGUUA